rnacentral:pre_miRNA from 1 species
UAAGUACUCCCUCCGUCUGAAAAUACUUGUCAUCAAAAUGGAUAAAAAGAGAUGUAUCUAAAACUAAAAUACGUCUAGAUACAUCCCCUUUUAUCCAUUUUGAUGACAAGUAUUUCCGGACGGAGGGAGUACAAA